rnacentral:sRNA from 1 species
UGUGCGCGAUCAUGUGUGACUUAUUUGUUGUUAAGAUUGUGUGACUUGUUUGUUGUUAUAUAUAGGCUGGAUUUUUUAUGGAUCCAUAAUGGAUCCCUGCGAUUGUUUUGUCAAUAGAUGUUUUGGUUUGUUUAAUGAUUUAUGUGUUUAUUGUGAUCUUGGUUUUGCUUGUGUGUAUAGAUCGUAGAUGAGAGAAUCGUCUCAAUAAGUAUUUAUGCAUCUCUUUUUUUAUGGUGCAUGUAAAGAUAAAGUGUGAAUCACAAACAAAUAAAGAGAUGCAUAAAUUUGAUCAAAAAUACUUAGGCGAUCAUCCCAUCUACGUGUUAUACACACAAACAAACCAAUAUUACAAUCAACACAAAAAUCAUGAAACAAACCAAACUAAUGAACAAUUAUCUAUUGACACAACCAUCUCAGGGAUUCAAUUUUGGAUGCAUCAAAAAUCCAUCCUACACAUCAAAACAAACAAGUCAAACAAUCUUAACAGUUUAGAUAAUCUUAUGGUCACACACACCUUGAACCAA